GGUCCUAUAGCUCAGUUGGUUAGAGCACCUGACUCAUAAUCAGGUGGUCCUAGGUUCAAGUCCUAGUGGGACCACAA
rnacentral:tRNA from 1 species